CCUGCCCCUUGAGGCGUUGCAGUCCGACAAUGUGUCGAGCCUGUGUCAUAAGGGGCGGAGAGUGAAAGGGUUAUGUCUACGCCAAGGACCCAGAACGGUGGGUACUUGGAGUGAUCAUGGCUCCGACAGA
ensembl:snoRNA